rnacentral:rRNA from 1 species
CAGUUCGGAUUGUAGUCUGCAACUCGACUACAUGAAGCUGGAAUCGCUAGUAAUCGCGAAUCAGAAUGUCGCGGUGAAUACGUUCCCGGGUCUUGUACACACCGCCCGUCACACCAUGGGAGUCAGUAACGCCCGAAGUCAGUGACCCAACCGGAACAGGAGGGAGCUGCCGAAGGUGGGACCGAUAACUGGGGUGAAGUCGUAACAAGGUACC